rfam:Ornithorhynchus anatinus chromosome 3, whole genome shotgun sequence.
AAACUCUCAGGAUCUCACCUGGAGAGUUUCCAUUACUCUACCAGUCUCGACUAUGGGAGGGAGAGUCAAAGCAGAGGCCUAUCCAUUCCAUUCCUAGCUUGGGCAAUGGCUAGCGAGGCGAAGGCAAUCUGCUACAAGU